rnacentral:rRNA from 1 species
UGAGGAAUAUUGGACAAUGGGCGAGAGCCUGAUCCAGCCAUGCCGCGUGCAGGAAGACGGCCCUAUGGGUUGUAAACUGCUUUUAUACAGGAAGAAACGCCUCUACGUGUAGAGGCUUGACGGUACUGUAAGAAUAAGGAUCGGCUAACUCCGUGCCAGCAGCCGCGGUAAUACGGAGGAUCCAAGCGUUAUCCGGAAUCAUUGGGUUUAAAGGGUCCGUAGGUGGAUGAUUAAGUCAGAGGUGAAAUCCUGCAGCUCAACUGUAGAAUUGCCUUUGAUACUGGUUAUCUUGAGUUAUUAUGAAGUAGUUAGAAUAUGUAGUGUAGCGGUGAAAUGCAUAGAUAUUACAUAGAAUACCAAUUGCGAAGGCAGAUUACUAAUAAUCAACUGACACUGAUGGACGAAAGCGUGGGGAGCGAACAGGAUUAGAUACCCUGGUAGUCCACGCCGUAAACGAUGGUCACUAGCUGUUCGGAUUUCGGUCUGAGUGGCUAAGCGAAAGUGAUAAGUGACCCACCUGGGGAGUACGUUCGCAAGAAUG